rnacentral:rRNA from 1 species
AUACGGAGGAUGCAAGCGUUAUCCGGAUUUAUUGGGUUUAAAGGGUGCGUAGGCUGUGCGGAAAGUCAGAGGUGAAAGCCCGGGGCUCAACUCCGGAACUGCCUUUGAUACUUCCGUGCUGGAAUACGGAUGCCGUGGGAGGAAUGAGUAGUGUAGCGGUGAAAUGCAUAGAUAUUACUCAGAACACCGAUUGCGAAGGCAUCUCACGAAGCCGUUAUUGACGCUGAGGCACGAAAGCGUGGGGAUCGAACAGGAUUAGAUACCCUGGUAGUCCACGCCGUAAACGAUGAUAACUAACCGUCGGCGAUACACAGGCGGUGGCCAAGCGAAAGCGAUAAGUUAUCCACCUGGGGAGUACGACCGCAAGGUUGAAACUCAAAUGAAUUGGCGGGU